rnacentral:rRNA from 1 species
AUUGAACGCUGGCGGUAUGCUUAACACAUGCAAGUCGAGCGGUAACAGGCCCUUCGGGGUGCUGACGAGUGGCGGACGGGUGAGUAAUGCUUAGGAAUCUGCCUAGUAGUGGGGGAUAACCCGGGGAAACUCGGGCUAAUACCGCAUACGCCCUACGGGGGAAAGGCGGGGACGUUUCGGGCCUCGCGCUAUUAGAUGAGCCU